rnacentral:rRNA from 1 species
AUGUCGUUCGCCGGCAUAUCCUUGAUCCGCGACGGCAAACUAUGGCCUUCCGGGUCGGCUGCCAACGACGCCCGCGCUGCCAGUGGGUACCACCUUCUUGUGAUCGAAAGCUACUCAUGCAUCAAAGGCAUCCCUAAAGGCAAUCACAUCAAAUCUGGCCCUUUCAGAGUGGGAGGGUAUCUCUGGUCUCUUGUGUACCAUCCUAACGGUUCGUCGUUGGCCAGGGCCGGCUAUGCAUCUGCUUCCCUCGCCCUCGCUCAGGAUGUCGCCAAGCCUGUAAAAGCGCAGUACGGGAUUAGUUUCAUUGGCCAGUUCGACGAGCAGGAGUCAACACACAUUCGUUCACGUCAAGUACGUGACUUCCGUGGCAAAUCUUGUGGUGUGUCCUAUUCCAAUUUCAUAAGCAGGGAUGACCUAGAAGACUCGGAACAUCUCAAGGACGAUAGCUUCAUCCUCCGGUGCGAUAUCGUCGUCAUCGAAAACGUCGUCAACACCAAGGGAACCGGCGCCGCUUCGCCAUACGUUACGGUGCCGCCGUCCGACAUGCACACGCACUUCACCCAUCUCCUUACCGCCAAUGAAGGCACAGACGUGAAGUUCAAGGUUGGCGACCAGACCAUCACCGCACACCGGUCCGUCCUCGCGGCCCGAUCUAGAGUCUUCAAGGCCGAGCUCUUCGGCCCGAUGGAGGGCACGGCGACCACCAGCGCCAUACACAUACAGGACAUGGAGCCUGGAAUUUUCAGGGCAAUUCUUGCAUUCAUUUACAGUGACUCUGAACCGGAGAUGGGGAAGGGAGAUGGUGAAGAUGCGAUGUGGCAGUGGACGCAGCUGCUUGUCGCGGCGGAUAGGUACGAUCUGCAGCGGAUGAAGCUCAUGUGUGAAGCUAAGAUAUGCGGGUUCAUUGGCGUCAACACCACGACCACCAUCCUGGAACUAACCGAGCAACACCGUUGUGACGGGUUGAAGAAGGCGUGCUACGACUUUCUAGGCGCACCAGGGAACCUGAGGGCUGUCGCGGCCACUGAUGGUUUCGAAGACCUGAUCAUGAGUUACCCCUCCGUCUUGAAGGAGCUGAUCGCCAUGCUUGCGCCCUAG